UUCACUUCAGCCACAUAUACUAAAAUUGGAAUGUUACAGAGAAGAUUAUUAGGCCCCUGCACAAGAGUGACACACAAAUUCAUGAAGCAUUCCAUAGCCCAUUUUU
rnacentral:snRNA from 1 species